AACUGAAGCGACUCUUCCCUAAACCCCUCUGCGCACGGCCAAAAGGCCAUGUUCUGUCACCCAUAAAUGAGUCAACAUGCACUGAUCACAGAUCUGUCUCGUCAACUGCUCCCUGGAUGAACAGAAUACUGGAAUCAAAUGGAACUGAGAGCACAAUACAUUAUAGCACAGAAGACGGUUCAAGAUUCACAAGUGGGUGUUUCCUCCCUCCUGUCGGAUUGUGAUGAGACUGACUCUGCUGACAUCUCCAGCGAUACUAGCUCCAGCAGUCUGCCUUCACCUGAGCAGUUCCGCAGAGAGAAAGUCUAUGAAGAGAUAGUGGCCUUCCCCAGUGAGGAGAUGUUGGACCUGAAUGUAAAGAACUCCACUCUCCUAGAUGUCAGCCAUGCUGAGGACAUCCACAUGCAGCAGCCUCCUAACCUGUCCUCCAUCAUUGACAUUUCCCAAAUGAAUGAUGAAAAAGAUCAGGAAAAAAGACGUUUAGCGCUACCCAUUAGAAGUACAUAUUCAGACAAGCUGUUCAAUGCCUAUGUGUCAGUUGAAAGCACACCCCUAGCUGGAGGAGUAACUGUGCCCUCAGUCCCCAAGAAAACACAAAGGGUAUGAAAACGCUCACCUGUCUUGUAUUUCUCAGAUUCUAUCUGAGCUACAAGUGGCAUGUAAAGAGAAACUGUGGCUCAUCUGCAAGUGUAAGAAUGUCAGUUAGUAAUGAAGUCCUCCUCUCACAGCCAGUGACGAUUAGACCCAGGAAGAUCAAAUGCAGGAAGAGAGUCAAAUUUAGUGACUCUGUUACCACUGAGAAGAUGGUAGUGAACAAUGUGGAGCCUGUCAGUGACCACACGGUCAGUGAGAGGACCAGAGACACAGUAGACAACAGAGAGACUGCUGCCCCUGAAGUAGUCCCUCAAGUCCUGAAAAGACCCACACAUCACUCACCAGAGCAAGCCAAGUUCUUUGACUUUGCAGACGAGAAAGAAAGAAACACCUUCUUUCAAAAGUUGAGGAAGAGGUACUCCUCCGUGAGGGUAAGCAUCCUCUCUGAAUGGUCAGUCUUUGGAUGAUUGCAGAUGCCAUGUAUCAAGAAUUUGCUCUCAUAGUAUGUUGUUUGACUGACCAUGUCCUGGUAUUUUUCGUCACCAGAGUAUAUUCGCCAAUGUUGGUGGGCGUUCGACAGAUGCAUUUGAAGAUGAGGGUAAUGUUUGGUAAGCACAAUUUCUACAUAGGAUGAAGUCCUGCAGAUAUUAGUAAAAUGGUUGGUUCCUAGGAUAAAAAUGUCUUGCAGAAAUGUCAUUACUAGGGUUGCACAUUUUGGGGUAUAUUCAGAGGUGGAAACUCCCGUGGGAAUAUAUGGGUAUUAAUGGGAAAUAAUGGAAAUGUAUGCAUAUUAAUACCAUUUAAAUGUAAUGUUUUUUGCAUUGGAUAUAUUUACCAUAUCAUAUGGAGAAAGAAACAAACCUUUUACCUUAUCAAAAGUAGACAUAAUUGCAAAUGAUUAAUCCUUCCAAUAGAAAAAAAAACAACUAUUUAGUUAUGAAUUGAACUUUAAUUAAAUGAGUUGACUCUUCACAUGGGAUGAUUUCACUGAACAACAAAAGGGAAUAUUGAAUUAUCCCCAAUGAUCCAUCGCAUCUCCCAAAAACAUUUAACACAUCUGUAAAAUGAGUCUAGAAACUAAAGCUUUGGUUGUCUUCCAUGUUUUCUCGCUGGACCUCCUCAAUGUCCACCUCUUGAACAUCAGACUUUGAGGCCUCAUCUUCUCUGUCACUUUCCAAAUUUGUUGAAGAUGGCUCGUUGUCGGGCUCAAAAAGGCUCAAAUUUGCCCGGGUGGCCACCAAUUUUUCAACCCGUGUAUUGGUCAGCCUGUUGUGUGCUUUGGUGUGUGUGUGUUCCCAAACAAGGACCAGUUGCGCUCUGAGGUGGCUGAUGUUGGUGGGAUUUGGAGGAUGAUGGAGGCAACAGGGGAAAGAGCCUGAGAUCUACAAAGUCACUUCCACCAGGUGGCUAAUGAGAUAUGUUGGCACGACUGCCAUAUUGCAUCUCCAUCCCAAAGCCCUUGCUUGGAAGUGUACUUUGCCAGACUGCCAAGAACCUUGUCCUCAUCCAGGCCAAGGUGGCGAGACACGGUAGUGAUGACACCAUAGGCCUUGUUGUUCUCUGCACCAGACAGGAUGUUCUUGUCAGCAUACUUGGGGUCAAACAUGUGCGCUGCGGUGUGUAAGGGCUUCAGGCAGAAGUCAUCACGCUUUUUGAUGCAUUUCAGAACUGCAGUUUCCUCUGCUUGGAGCAACAGUGAAGUGGGCAGGGCAGUAUGGAUUUCUUCUCUUACAUCUGCAAGCAGAGUCUGAACAUCAGACAGGAUGGCAUUGUCUCCCUCAAUUCGUGCAAUGGCUACUGCUAUAGGUUUCAGGCUGCUUACCACUCUCUCCCAAAAUACAACAUCCAGGAUGAUGCUCUUGAUGGGGCUGUCCAUAUCAGCAGACUGAUAUGGUCAUUUCUUGGAGAGACUCCUCCCCUCCAGGAGACUGUCAAACAUGACGACAACACCACCCCAACAGGUGUUGCUGGGCAGCUUCAAUGUGGUGCUCUUAUUCUUCUCACUUUGCUUGGUGAGGUAGAUAGCUGCUAUAACUUGAUGACCCUUGGCUCUAUUGUAGUGUAUCCAUUGUUUCCAGUGCCAUUAUGUCCUUGAGGAGCAGAUUCAAUCCAUGAGCAGCAUAGCCAAUGGGUGUGAUGUGAGGGUAGGACUCCUCCACUUUAGACAAAGCAGCCUUCAUGUUCGCAUCAUUGUCUGUCACCAGUGCAAAUACCUUCUGUGGUCCAAGGUCAUUGAUGACUGCCUUCAGCUCAUCUUCAAUGUAGAGACCGGUGUGUCUGUUGUCCCUUGUCUGUGCUCUUGUAGAAUACUGGUUGAGGGGUGGAGAUGUAGUUAAUUAUUCCUUGCCCACUAACAUUCGACCACCCAUCAGAGAUGAUUGCAAUACAAUCUGCUUUCUCAAUAAUUUGCUUGACCUUCACUUGAACUCUGUUAAACUCUGCAUCCAGCAAAUGAGUAGAUAAAGCAUGUCUGGUUGAAGGGGUGUAUGCUGGGAAAAGAACAUUCAGAAAUCUCUUCCAAUACAAUUUGCCUGUGAGCAUCAGAGUUGAACCAGUUGCAUACACAGCUCGAGCAAGACAUUCAUCAGCAUUUAUCUGACUCUGUUCCUCCAUUGAAUAAAAAAAAGUGUCUGAUUCCAGGAGGAACUUGCUAUCUAUAAGGUGUCUGAUUCAUCAUUUUCACCUCAAAUAGAAGAAGAGGGACUUUUGUCAGAGCUUGCUUGUUGUGAGAGCUGAGGGAACUUUAUGCACUUGGCUAGAUGAUUCUGCAUCUUUGUUGCAUUCUUCACAUAUGAUUUGGCACAGUAUUUGCAAAUGUACACAGCUUUUCCUUCUACAUUAGUUGCAGUGAAGUGUCUUCACACAUCAGAUAGUGCCCGUGGCAUUUUCCUGUAAAGAUUAGUAAAACAAAUACAAUUCCAUGUACAGAUAAAUAGUUAAGCAGUUAGAUUAAACAACUCUUUUGUAGGAAAUGUUUUAAAAUGAAACAUGUAUGGAAACAGGUGAAUUAACACUCCUCAGUUAGCAGGCUCAAGCAAGCUAAAACUCACAUGGUAGCAAAAACUAACUAGCAGAAAUUGUUAACAAGUUAGAAAUGAUUUAAACACACUUUGCUGUAGGCUACUAUUUACUAGUUAACAAAAAUUCAUGUAUGUCAUAUAAAAUAUAUUCACCCCACCCAGUAUUUUAAUCAAAACUUACCAGAAAGCAUGUAGUCCUUGGCUCAGACAGUCUAGUAGUCUGAGCUCAAUAGCAUCUCAUUAGUGUGCAAGAUCUUGAGAAUCAGCUGUACAUGUGAUGGAAGAGUGCACUCUGUGAAUGCAGAGGGUUGCAAUUCUUUUGAAUUAGGGUUAACAAAAAUAUGCCACAAGACGUAGAAUUGCCUUGUGUAUCCCACUAAAAAGGUUCACUUGUAAUAAGCUAACUUUUCUUGAUGAAUUUAAGCAAAAUUCCCGGGCUUAACUUCCCAUGGAAAAUUUUCGGUAAUUUACCGGAAAGUUUCUGACUGCGUCCUCUCAAGUAUUUCCAUGGGUAGGGCCAGGAGUUUUUCCUGACCAAUGUGACCGGGCCUGCGGACCUUCUGUGGCUAAUUCUGUGGCAAAACAAUUCUUAAAUGGAAGCAAACUGAACAAAAUACUUGAAUAGAAACUCUCGCUUUGUUCCUGUGUGGCUAAGUUGGUAUGGUGGGACCAGUACAGAAAAAAGUAUGAACAUUUAUUCACUCACUACUGUAAGUCGCUCUGGUUAAGAGUGUCUGCUAAAUGACAAAUAUUUUCAUGUAAAAUGCUCUGUUUACUGUUUGAAAACCAAAUGGAAGCAAACAGUUUCCGUAGGUAAUACGCCCCAGGAAAAGCUCUUGGCUCUAGUUAUUAGCUGUAAAUCGGGCUUGAGUUUUUCCUACUCAGGAGAAAUCCCUACCGCCUUAUCCAUUAAACAUUAUACUGUUUUGUUUUUAUAAUUUAUAGUAAUGGUUGAGUAUGAUUGAUCUGCUGUUACUUUUGUUCAUUUUCCAUUGUUAUUUAAUAUU
rnacentral:lncRNA from 8 species